GAGCCAUGAUGAAUCUGCGCACUACCGUGAUGGUUGGGUCCAUCACCUUCGUAAGAUCUGUAAAGACUACAAAAUGCGCAUCUGAGCUC